GACGAACCGUGCGAGCGUUAUUCGGAAUCAUUGGGCUUAAAGGGCGCGUAGGCGGCGGUGUAAGUUGGAAGUGAAAUCCCAUCGGCUCAACCGUGGAAUUGCUCCCAGUACUGCAUCGCUCGAGGGGGAUAGGGGUUUGCGGAACUACCGGUGGAGCGGUGAAAUGUGUUGAUAUCGGUGGGAACGCCAGUGGCGAAAGCGGCAAACUUGACCCUUCCUGACGCUGAGGCGCGAAAGCUAGGGGAGCAAACGGG
rnacentral:rRNA from 1 species